CGGGAUGUAGCGCAGCUUGGUAGCGCGCCUGCUUUGGGAGCAGGAUGCCGCAGGUUCGAAUCCUGUCAUCCCGA
rfam:Calothrix sp. PCC 6303, complete genome.